CUAAGCAUAUCAAUAAGCGGAGGAAAAGAAACCAACAGGGAUUGCCUUAGUAACGGCGAGUGAAGCGGCAACAGCUCAAAUUUGAAAUCUGGCUCCUUCGGGGUCCGAGUUGUAAUUUGCAGAGGAUGCUUCGAGUUAUGGUUCCUUCCGAGUUCCCUGGAACGGGACGCCAUAGAGGGUGAGAGCCCCGUCUGGUAGGAAACCAUGCUCAUGUGAAGCUCCCUCGACGAGUCGAGUAGUUUGGGAAUGCUGCUCUAAGGGGAGGUAUACUCCUUCCAAGGCUAAAUACCGGCUAGAGACCGAUAGCGCACAAGUAGAGUGAUCGAAAGAUGAAAAGUACUUUGAAAAGAGAGUCAAACAGCACGUGAAAUUGUUAAAAGGGAAGCGCUCGCUACCAGACGUGGGUUCGGUGGUUCAACCAGGUCCAUGACCUGGGGCACUCCGCCGGCCCAGGCCAGCAUCAGCUUUCCGUCGGGGGCAAAGGCGUCGGGAAUGUGGCUCUCCUUCGGGGGAGUGUUAUAGCCCGUCGCGUCAUACCCUUCGGGGGGCUGAGGUACGCGCUCCGCAAGGAUGCUGGCGUAAUGGUAGCUAGUGACCCGUCUUGAAACACGGACCAAGGAGUCAACCUUAUGUGCGAGUGCCCGGGCGUAAAACCCCAGCGCGGAAUGAAAGUGAACGUAGGUGAGAGCUUCGGCGCAUCACCGACCGAUCCUGAUGUCCUCGGACGGAUUUGAGUGAGAGCAUAUAGGGUUGGACCCGAAAGAAGAUGAACUAUGCGUGUGUAGGGUGAAGCCAGAGGAAACUCUGGUGGAGGCUCGCAGCGGUUCUGACGUGCAAAUCGAUCGUCAAACAUGCGCAUGGGGGCGAAAGACUAAUCGAAUCUUCUGGUAGCUGGUUUCCGCCGAAG
rnacentral:rRNA from 1 species